UGCCUAAACCUACCGCAAGGUAGGCAUGGCAGAAAGACCUAACAGGCAGUAAGCUCUUCGUCAGAGCGCUUGUUAGGCUGUAGUCCGAAAGGAUUGCAGGUCGGGGGAAACUUCGAUC
rnacentral:sRNA from 1 species